UCUCACUGUUCUUUUCCCAAACACACAAGAUCUCACAAUCCCAGCAAGAGGAAAUGACUUAGGGAUGAAGGCUUCAGAGGAGGAAAAAAAAAUAGAGGCUUCCAAUAAAAAUCAUUUCUAGAAGGAAUGAAGCUGUUAUUGGCAAGUCAACCAGUGAGAGAGACGACUUUGGAAAGAAAGAAGUUCUAUCUUCUAUCCACAUGUCUGUUAGAGAAUGUUUGCAGGUAUUUCCUGGGGGCUUCCCUGGUGGCUCAGAUGGUAAAGAGUCUGCCUGCAGUACAGGAGACCAGGGUUCGAUCCCUGGAUUUGGAAGAUCUGAUGGAGAAGGGAAUGGCUACCAACUCCAGUAUUCUUGCCUAGAGAAUUCCACAGACAGAGGAUCCUGGAGAGCCACAGUACACGGGAUUGCAAAGAGCUGGACAAGACUGACUAACACUAUUACCCUCCUACAGGUAUUUGCUAUUGGACGAUGUGUUAUUAGCUGCUUUUGUGCUUGCUUAUUUGAUCAGUUAUGUUGACUCUUUGUGACCCCAUGGACUGUAACCUACAAGGCUCCUCUGUCCAUGGGAUUUCCCAGACAAGAAUACUGAAAUGGGCUGCCAUUUCCUCCUCCAGGGUAUCUUCCCAACCCAGGGAUUGAACCCACAUCUCCUGCACUGGCAGGAGGAUUCUUUACCACUAAGCCAACUGGGAAGCCUGUGUUAUUAAUUACCUUCAGAGUAAACAUGUUAUGAGAAAUGGAGCCCUUCUCUUCUCUAGGGAUUUGUGAUUCCCCAAGAACUCUUCUCGGCAUAUCCUCAACUCUGAUGCUUUCUUCUCUACCGGGGAAGACGAGCAGAGAAAGUCCAUGCAUUUGUCAGUCUUGGCCCCUGGUGAUAACUGUGCCAUGGAGGCAGCAGGCAUUUGGAACUGCCAUGUCAUCAAGGUGAGGCUGACCCUUGAUUCAGCCAAGUGAGGCCCCCAAAUGCCAAAUGGCAUCUACUUCAGUCCAACUAGAAUGUGUUUAUGAAUCACUUCAGAUCUUGUUACAAAUGCCAGUCUUGAGUGAGGGGUUCUAGAUUCUCUACUUCUAACAAGCUUGGGUGCCUGUGGCCAGCCAAGGGACAGAUGCUGCUCAUCCAUAGACAGUACCCUGAGUACCAUGGUUUAAUACGUUGGGCCCCUUCCUUUCAAUCAAAUGUCACACAUUUUAAAACAAACUUCUGAAUGUCAUAGAAAUCUAGGCCCAAGCCUAGGAGAAUGGAAAAUCAUGGCUCCAGAACCACAGAUACAAUCUGAUCAAAAGGAUAUUUUGAGGUCAGAUGAAACGUACUGCAAACAUGAGUCAGUGAAAGCAAGAAAGAGCUGAGACUCACAAAGAAAACCAACGGCCAGGAGGUGGAGAUCCAGUCUCUUCUUAACUGUUCAAAGUCACCAGCUGAUAAUGACAUCAGUUUCAGUAUGUUCAAUUUUAUUUGUUGAUGUUUUUGAUCUAAUUAUGUUUAAUGCGUACAUAUCUUUUAUUGCAAGCAAGUUCAAAUCUGCUUUUUUUACAAAAGAAAUCCAUAGGUUGAAAAACGAAACCAUCACAAAAUAAAAAUUUAUUCUUCUUCCU
ensembl:lncRNA